rnacentral:tRNA from 2 species
CCCGCAGUAGCUCAGCCUGGUAGAGCUUCCGGCUGUAGACCGGAGUGUCGUCGGCUCAAAUCCGACCUGCGGGA